ACAAAUUUUAUAAUUUUCUUUCUUUGCAAGAGAACCUAAUAUAUAAACUCUGCGAAUGCUACACAAUGUGACAAUCUUUGUUGGAACAGCAACACCCGGUUCAGGAAAUAUAUAAAUAAUCUACAAUAUCAAGUUUUAUUUAAUAAAAACGCAAUAUCUUAUCUUAAAUAAAAAAUCAUCUUUCGAAUAAAAAUUAUUAUGAGUUCGGCUGGUGAACUUUGAAUUUUAAGUUGACUCAAUAUGAAGGUUGACUCAAAAAGAAGGCCUAUCAUUUUGAACGUGUAUUACUCAAAUUUAAAUUUAAAAUCAAAAGCGUGUAUGCGUCAAAAAAGGUAAACAUUGAUAGAUUCAGUUAAAAAUUCAUCCCGGAACAUUUCCGAAAAAGAGGUAAAUUGUUGAGUGUUAAAUCAACUUGUCUUUCAUAAUAACUGGAAGUAAUGAUGUGGGCCGUUUUCGAAAAUGCUUUAUUGAAAUAUUUUAGUUUUUCCUUUUUUUUGUAGGCACAACAAGAAAGGAGUGCAAGAAUCAUCGAUCAGUUUUUCACCGUGGCUGGAAUUCCGAAGAUCCAAAUGUACAAAUUCGAGAACUGUAUUUAGGAGGACUCAGGCAAUCAUAGGUUUAUAUUUCCUUCCCUAAAACUCAUCAAGUAGGUUGACGAUACUCAGACUGUACGGCUUCCUUCCUCCGUCUGUUGGCGUUAAAAUAAAUAAACUGUCUGUCAGUUGUGUCUCGAUUUCUGCAACUCAAAGUCUUAUCCCCAUCAGCCAUCAACAUUCUACCGGUUUCCAGGAAUCCUACAAAUGAAGAUAAGGAUACACUUGAUCGCCGGAAAAGUGUACAUUCUGUGAAUCAAAUCCAAAUCAGGAGCAGCUUCUUAUAGCGCGCAACCGGACUGUGGCUUAUUCGAAAGAACCAUUUCCACUUAAACGACAACCAAUCAAACGAAGUUAUCAAGUUGGAAUGCUUGAGGGUUCCCAAAACAGCUCCGAUAUUCCGGAACCUGACGGUGUUAGAGCCUUCGACUUCAAGUUAUUUGAAGAUUCUUUGGCAAAUUUUUAGCUGGAAAAAGGGAAGCACUGAACGUGGAUGCACAAGUUCCGCUGACUGGUUUUUUUGGCCUGCAUCACCUGACCCAUUAGACCCCACCUGUGGAAAGACUGUCACAGAUGGUCGUUUGAUGAUUACACACAAGAACUCAGCACAAUGAAAGAAAACACCAAUACGAUAACAACUGGAUACAAUGGUUCGUCUGUUUGCUCAUCUAAUUCAUCUGUUGGCAGAAGAUUCUAAGUAAACAAGUUUCAAAAUUCUCAGAACAAAUCCUGUGGAAUAAUAACAAAGUUUUUGUUAUGUU